rnacentral:lncRNA from 14 species
GAGAAAAUUGUCAUUGCUGAGGGACUGAAGACCUCUAAAGCAGCUUUGCUUCAGGGAACGGAAAGAACUGAAGGUCACUGAUUCAGUGAACUGUCCAGAGGGUUUGCAGUUGGAGUUUUGAGGAGACUGUUGGGGUGGAGACCUGAAAGGAACCUUUUUCAUCUCCACUCGAAAUGACAGAAGGAAGAAGUCUGCUCUCAGACCCUGCCUGCAUGACCUUGUUUUGUCUGUACAAAAAGCCUUCAGGGAUGUACAAGUAGGGGCAGCAUAUUUGAUGAAGGUUGCAGAGGUGUGGAUAGCUCAGCACAGCAGCCAGAAGCACAGAAGACUCUGGGAAGAUACUAUUACUGACUUAGUCCUCUGAAUUGGUGUUCUUCCAAACCAAAUUACUGGUUUUCAUCACACUGGGACAGCACCCACUACUCACCAGUGUAAACCUGGUUCAUAUAUUUAUAUACCACAACAAGCAUGCACAACAUUUGAAGCAAUUAAUGGAUCUUACAGCAUAACCCAGGCUUAACAUAGAAAAGGAUCACAAUAAACAAUGGGAGGAAAGAGGAAGAAUGAAGGGA